CAAAGGUGAGCCAGUACAGGAUGGACCCGCGUCUGAUUAGCUAGUUGGUAAGGUAACGGCUUACCAAGGCGACGAUCAGUAGCCGACCUGAGAGGGUGAUCGGCCACAUUGGAACUGAGACACGGUCCAAACUCCUACGGGAGGCAGCAGUGGGGAAUAUUGCACAAUGGGCGAAAGCCUGAUGCAGCAACGCCGCGUGAGUGAUGAAGGCCUUCGGGUCGUAAAACCCUGUCCUCAAGGAAGAUAAUGACGGUACUUGAGGAGGAAGCCCCGGCUAACUACGUGCCAGCAGCCGCGGUAAUACGUAGGGGGCUAGCGUUAUCCGGAUUUACUGGGCGUAAAGGGUGCGUAGGCGGUCUUUCAAGUCAGGAGUGAAAGGCUACGGCUCAACCGUAGUAAGCUCUUGAAACUGGGAGACUUGAGUGCAGGAGAGGAGAGUGGAAUUCCUAGUGUAGCGGUGAAAUGCGUAGAUAUUAGGAGGAACACCAGUUGCGAAGGCGGCUCUCUGGACUGUAACUGACGCUGAGGCACGAAAGCGUGGGGAGCAAACAGGAUUAGAUACCCUGGUAGUCCACGCUGUAAACGAUGAGUACUAGGUGUCGGGGGUUACCCCCUUCG
rnacentral:rRNA from 1 species